ACUCCUACGGGAGGCAGCAGUGGGGAAUUUUCCGCAAUGGGCGCAAGCCUGACGGAGCAAGACCGCGUGGGGGAGGAAGGCUCUUGGGUUGUAAACCCCUUUUCUCAGGGAAGAAGAAUGACGGUACCUGAGGAAUCAGCCUCGGCUAACUCCGUG
rnacentral:rRNA from 1 species